rnacentral:rRNA from 1 species
UACGUAGGGGGGCGAGCGUUGUCCGGAAUCAUUGGGCGUAAAGAGCGUGUAGGCGGCUUGGCAAGUCUGACGUGAAAGCCCGCGGCUCAACCGCGGAUUGUCGUUGGAAACUGCCUCGCUAGAGUCCGGAAGAGGAGAGCGGAAUUCCUGGUGUAGCGGUGAAAUGCGCAGAUAUCAGGAAGAACACCUAUGGCGAAGGCAGCUCUCUGGGACGGUACUGACGCUGAGACGCGAAAGCGUGGGGAGCGAACAGG